AGUUCGUGGAGUGAUCUGUCUGCUUAAUUGCGUUUCAAAAUUUAACUUGAGGACCGGGUUUUGGUUUGGCUAGUGGUUCUACGAUGACUGUGAACUGUCAUGUCUUCGGAUGUGCGACUAUUGGUCUAGGAUCACAUGACUUGCCCCUGGGACUCUUUUGAACGCAACGGACGUGAUUGCAACCCCUUGUUGAGAUUAGAGAUAGUCUCGAUAUUCACUGGACAAACUGGCUGCUUUAUGCAGUCUUGUUGAAUGGUGGAUAAACUCGGGGGACUGCUGACUAUAACCAUUUCUCAAAACAGAGGAAGGUUGCGGCAAUAACAGGUCUGUGAUGCCCUCAGAUGUCCCGGGCUGCACACGUGCUACAAUGAGUGGCGCAAUGUGCUAAUGUUUAAGGGAUAAGAGUGUGGUCAGUAGAACGUCGGGAUUUCCCCUGACGUCUCCCCCGCACGAUUAUCAGCCUUCCCUUAACAGGGCGGGCAACCUUUUCAAAAUACUGGUUUGAUGUUAAAGUAUUGAGUCGUUUUUUUUGGAUGGUGGUUUGUUAACCAAUACCAUCCGGCAACUGCUCGCGAGUUUGUGGUUCUGGCGACUCAUGGU
rnacentral:rRNA from 1 species